rnacentral:rRNA from 1 species
GAUGAACGCUGGCGGCGUGCUUAACACAUGCAAGUCGAACGGCAGGGCCCUGCUUUUGUGGGGUGCUCGAGUGGCGAACGGGUGAGUAACACGUGAGUACCCUGCCCUUGGCUGUGGGAUACCUUCAGGAAACUGGGGCUAUUACCGGUUAGGAGCACCGGCUGCAUGGGGGGGGCUGGAAAGUUUCGGCGGUUGGGGAUGGACUCGCGGCUUAUCAGCUUGUUGGGGGGGUAGUGGCUUACCAAGGCUUUGACGGGUAGCCGACCUGAGAGGGUAAACAGGCACCAUAGGACUACGGGACGGCCCAGACGGGAACGGGAGGCAGCAGUGGGAAGCAUGACACAAUGAGCCGGAGCGUGAGACAGCAGCGCUGCGGGUGGGAAGACGUCUUGCGCGUAAAGAACCCCUUGGCCCUAAGACGGAGCGUGGAUGACGGUAACGGAAAAAUAAGCACCGGCUAACUACGUG